rnacentral:ncRNA from 2 species
UACUGUUCUCAGGGCGGGGUGAAAUUCCCCACCGGCGGUGAUAGCCCGCGAGCGCCUGCCACAGCGGCAGGGUCUAGCAGAUCCGGUGGAAUUCCGGGGCCGACGGUUAAAGUCCGGAUGGAAGAGGAUCGUC